GACUGAUGAUCUCGCGUUUGACAUGAUUCCAGAAUAGCUAUAGUAUUCGUGAUCUGUAAAAGAUUAACAAUAAUCGAAUGAAGAAUAGAUAUACAUAUUAACGAUUGAAUGAAGUGUACAAAGAAAUAUCAGUCAUCGAAGUAAAGACGAUAUAACGUAUAGAAUAUAAAGUUGAAAUCAGCUCGAAGAGAUCUAAUUGAUAGAUUAGACAGGGUUAAUUUUCAAUUCUUAUUCCGUUCGCGUGCCUAUACCAGCGCGAUCAAUUCGGUAUUAUUAAUUCGUAUGUUAAGAAUGAAUUAAUAACAUCGAAUAUUCUUCAUCGAUGAAUCACAUCAAUGAAGAAUAGUCGCAUACGUGCUUGUAUACGUACUUGCAUCGUUGCUCUUGGUACAUAUUAAAUUCAAUUGAUUUUUAAUAAAAAGUCUAGUUCGCUUAAUUUAUUAUUUAUAAAAAUUGAAUUUCAUAAUGUUUUAAUUAUGUUACAGGUUAUUAAUUUUUUUAAGUAACGUAAUGUAUUAUAUAUUAUAUCGGCAUACAACGAGCUAGUAAGCAGGGCAAACGAUCGACCGGAUAAGGCAAUGAUUGGCGUUGCAACGGAUCACCAUGAUAGUAGAGCUCGAGAUGUCGGGAAUAAAAUAUACGAAGCCGAUGUCUUUUUUCUUAUCAUUACGUAUAUAUCGUACAACCGUCAACAUCUUAUUUCAGGAUAAAAAUACGCGAACGUUGGAUCAAGCAAGAAGAAUCUAACGGGAAAAUUGAAUAAGAAUAAGAAGGAAUUUUGACACGUAUACACAACCUUGAGCUAUCGAGAGAGAAAGAGAGAGAGAGAGAGAGAGAGAGAGAGAUGUCUGCAACGUCUUUGUCUCUGUGCUAAUGGAAAUUACAUGCCGCAACGAAUUUCCCUUGCAAAUACAAAGAUUAGUCGAUACUUGUCAAGGACGAAUACUGGAAUCCAUUCUUGCGAAUAUGAACAUUCCAUUUGAUUCAUGAAGAAAUACCUAAUAACAACAACAAAAAUAAAAUGACAUGAACAUCUCUAUAUCUUGUAAUCAUUGUAAAAUCUCUAAGGAUUUUGUUCUUUCAAGAAAAAAAAAUAAGAAAAUAGAAGGAAAGACAGAGUUCGUGAUUCGCACGAAAGAUUCUUCCCCGUGUCUGGGAGAGAAACGUCGACGGCAUAAAGAAUCGAUUCUUCAGAGUCCAGCGACCCUUUUACUUCGUCUGCGAAUUGAAAACGUCGUUGACCAUUGAAUGCGUCUGGGAUGCAUUGUAUCUGUAUAUAUUGAUGAAAUGUACAGGGUGUCCCAUUUAACAUCCCAAAAAUAUUAUGAUAAUCUAACACUUUCUUCUGUUUUAAUUUACAGAUAGCGUUCUAUAAUAUUUGAGUCAUGCAUUUCGUUACUAAUAAUCAUAAGGAAAAGAAAGAGAGAGAGAGAGAGUGAAAUAAUGAAAUGAAGAAAAGAUAAGAAGAAGAAGAUAAUAUCGUAUAUAAUUUACAAGUCGUGUCUACUUCAAGGUUUCUCGAGAUCCUGAACGAAGUCGAGAUGAGCGUAGGUCGUCGCCGAAGAAACGAAAUAAAAAUUCCAUAAGUGUAUAGAGAAGGAGGUGAUGAGGGGGAAGUAAAGUAGGAGGAGUAGGCGCCGCUGGGUAAUCGACCGAUCGAGUUUGACCAGAGUUGAUCGUUGGACGACCUUGGAAAGUAUCGUCUCUCUCCCAGAUUCGUUUGAUAGGUGUAGAAAAUCUCGUUAGUUCCGAUCAUCGAUUUGACUCGAUCAAGUUGGAAAGUCUCUCGAAAGAGUCAAGCGGAAAAGGAAAGGAAAGCUUAUUUGCCUCAGUUAACGUGGCAACAUUAAAGUCAUUAUGGCAUACUAUGUCGUUGGUUAAAUGAGUAAGAUACCAGGAGGACGUAGAUAUUGCAUAAACUUCUCUAUCGCAUCCGAAAGCACAAGCUGAAAUACAUCCUGUUCGUCUAAUUUCAUUCAAGAAUUUGUACAUCAUCGUCUGAAUUCAAGAAGAAGAAAGUGUGUGUGUGUAUACUCUACCAAGAACUAUCUAAGAAUGCCUUCCAGUAAAAUAGAUGUCUUAAUAAUGACUUGAUAAUAAUCAUAAACAAACUUUUCUUCGUGUUUGACUAAUCAUCAUGUCAUCAUUGUAAUAAGAUAUUUGAAUCAUCUAAAUGAGAUUAUUCAAGGAAUAUAAAUUACCAUGAUAGUUCUGAUAAGUAUAAUUAUGAAGAUUAUCUACAACAGAUUAAAAAAAGAAGAUAAAAGAAAAAAAAGAAACUUGCAACUAAUCGUAAAAAAUAGAAACGGAAGGACUUGUAUUAUUGGUCGACGAGCUUCCGGUGUGAAACCCUCUCUCUACGCAGAGACUAUUCUAAGCAUUUGCCUGGCCUCCUCCGUUACACCUACGCACGUAUUUUAUAAUCGAUAGUAUUAAACAAAAGUCAGGUCGACAUAUACGUAUCCUUGGUGGUAACAAUAAGAAGAAAUCUUUGUUUACAAAUUAAAGUAAACAGUAUCGUCAUUGGGAGAAAUUCACCGUCCAUUUACGAAGAAGCGUGGCAUGUAUACAAACGUUAACACGUAUUAGCUUGCGAGACGCAGAAGAAGAGACACACGAGAAGCAAUCGAGUAUAAUCGUUCGUAGACCGUUCCGUUCGCAUUAGGCAAGCUUAAUGACCGUAUAAAAGGGUGCCACGUGGGUGUUCGUUAUCUUCGCUGAGCUACACCCUUUUCCUCUUCGAAAUUCGCCUCGCUCGUCUUUGUCGCAUACGUCUGCUAUACCGGCUGGCCCCGUUUUAGUUUCGUCUUUUUGUAUCUUUCGUUUUAUGUUCCUCAUAUACUGCGGGUGUGCAUAUGGUAUAUACAUACAUAUAUGUAUGUAUAUAUAUAUAUAUAUAUAUAUAUAUAAAAUCAUAUACAUAGAUGUGUUAUUUUAAGAACAGAAGCUCAUUUAAACGUUUCUUAAGAGUAUUAGAAACUUAACGGUUAAGCUGACAAGCGUAAAUUAAACAUUUGUCGGCUUGUAAAAAUGAAUUGUUGAUUGAAAGAAUUUGUUAAAAAAAAAAAAAAAAAAAAAGAAAAAGAAAAAAAGA